AUGGCUGUCUGCUUCUGUUUGUAUUUCCCAAAGUCUAUUUUCUCUGUUUCAGGAGCCAGGAAAGCUUCAUGCAGGGAGGGGGUGCAAGCUCCAUCCAACAUUCAUGACUGUUAUUCU